rnacentral:rRNA from 1 species
UACGUAGGUGGCGAGCGUUGUCCGGAUUUACUGGGCGUAAAGGGCUUGCAGGCGGUCCGUUAAGUCCGAUGUGAAAUCUCCCGGCUCAACUGGGAGAGGUCAUUGGAUACUGGCGGACUAGAGGGGGGUAGAGGAAAGCAGAAUUCCUGGUGUAGCGGUGAAAUGCGUAGAUAUCAGGAGGAAUACCAGUGGCGAAGGCGGCGUUCUGGGCCUACCCUGACGCUGAGGAGCGAAAGCGUGGGGAGCAAACCGG